rnacentral:rRNA from 1 species
ACCACGGAGUGAUUCAUGACUGGGGUGAAGUCGUAACAAGGUAGCCCUAGGGGAACCUGGGGCUGGAUCACCUCCUUAACGA